UCGUUCUACCAUAAAUAGCCUGCGCUUCUGCAGCUAGGGUUUCUCCGAUUAGGGUUUUCUUCUUAAUUCCCUCUCUUCGCCGCCGAUCACCGAAGCCGCGAAAAAUGGUGAAUUUAUCCCUCUCUCUUUCUAUUUUCUCUCUCUCUGUGUGAUAUAUGUGGUGAGUUUGCUGUUUGUGGUAGAUUCUCUCUAUAGGUGCCUACUCUCUCUCUAAACUCUGCGUUUUUUUUUUUUUUUGUGGAUCAGCCGUCGCACAAGACCUUCAUGAUCAAGAAGAAGCUUUUGCGAAGAAGAUGAGGCAGAACAGGCCCAUCCCUCAC
rnacentral:lncRNA from 1 species